AACUAACGCUGGCGGCGCGCCUAAUACAUGCAAGUCGAACGAUGUAGCAAUACAUAGUGGCGCACGGGAGAGUAACACGUGGAUAAUCUCCCCUCGAGAGAGGAAUAACUAGUCGAAAGAUUGGCUAAUACUUCAUAAGACCACAGAAACUAAUGUUUCGGGGGUAAAAGUCGUAAGACGCUUGAGGAUGAGUCUGCGUCCCAUUAGCUAGUUGGUGAGGUAACGGCUCACCAAGGCGACGAUGGGUAGCUGGUCUGAGAGGAUGAUCAGCCUCACUGGAACUGACACACGGUCCAGACUCCUACGGGAGGCAGCAGUAGGGAAUAUUGCACAAUGGGCGAAAGCCUGAUGCAGCGACGCCGCGUGAGUGAUGAAGGACUUCGGUUUGUAAAGCUCUGUUGUCAGGGAAUAAAAAAAUGAACGUACCUGACGAGAAGGACCGGCUAACUUCGUGCCAGCAGCCGCGGUAAGU
rnacentral:rRNA from 1 species